rnacentral:rRNA from 1 species
AUGCACACACACAUUUUAUUUUUUCGCAACAGCCGGCUGUGGGCUGCCGGCGCACUUUUUCUAGCCGGCCACCAGGCAAACAACCUCUUCUUUUUCUUCAGGCGCUGGUCUCAUCAAGCGGCUGGAGCGCGACCCAGCAGGGGCGCGCGCGGCACAGCUGGACACGGCGCCCGACCCGGCCGGCAGCGGAGGUGCGCGACCCGGCCGGCCAGAGGCGCGGCGGGGGAGUCGGCACGGCGCGCGGAGGCGCAGGCGGCCUCGGGCGGAGUCGGACGCGGACGCGCGUGGCCGAGCCGGCACGGGAAGGCGGCGGGGAGCCGCAGUUGGACGGGAGCCAGUCGGCGGGCGCAAAGAUGCUGGGUCGUGCGUGGCCGAGUAGCGGAGGCGGCUCGGCAUAGCGAGUCGGAGGCCGGGAAGGCGAGGGUCGGCCGCGGUCGUGAGACGGAGGUGGACGCGUUGGUGACCCGACAACUAGGCACGGGCGAUUCCACUGAACGGCGAGCCGGCCUGGCGUGCAGGCGGCAGGCAGAGUCGGCCGGACUUGGGGAGGCGACCCAAAGCUGGUGGGGGCCAGAGCCGUCCGGGUUGCGGGAGGACCCGGCGGAAGCAGAGCUACCGGCCACAGGCGGAGGCUGCUGGAUGGGCGCGGGGGACGCCACAGACGACCGCGCGGGGCGGCCGAACGAGCGUGGCAACCCGGCAGGUGGCUCGAGAGGAGUCGGACCCAGCGCAGCAGCGCGGGAGAAGCCGGAGCGGGGCGCGAGGAGCCGGACCCGGCGCAGCAGCGCGGGAGGAGCCGGACUCGGCGCUGCGGGCGGAGACGGCGGAGGCGCGGGAGCCAGCACAGACAGGCCGGAGGCCAGGUGGAAGCAGCCGCACACGGAGCCCAGAAGCCGGACUGGGCAGAGCCACGUGCGAACGCAGGAGGCCGAGCGGGAGCCGGCCCGCGCAGGAGGAGGGAGUGAGGCGCGGCGUAGCAGGAACCGGCCUCGUGGUUGGAGGAGCAGCGACGGCCGGGUGCUGGGUUGCAGCGCGGUUGGUGGAGAGCAGCAGCGCGCAUGGUGCUGGGUGGCUCCAUCGUAG